CCUAUUCUCUUCUAUUCAUCGUCGCCCCCAACCUUUUCCCUCUCAUCUCCCUCCCGUACACACUCCUAUGCCAUCGACUCCGGCAAAUUCAGGUAAAGGGUAAAGGGUAAAGGGUGGCUUGGAUUUGUAACCGGUCGGUAGUAAGAGGGAUGAUGGCUGGUUGUCCAAUCGUGGUACGUAUUUCCACUUGUUGCUUUCUCAUAUACGGUGGUUCAAGCAAAUAUGAGCUUGUAAUUGAUGUGGAUAGUUAUAGUUGUUUGAUUAAUAAUCACGAUAUAUGUUAAUUAUGAUUGGAUAUUUAUGGUGUUAACAACACAACUUGGAUUUGGUGGUGUUUCGGUGGAUCUUCUGGCGACUGUGGCUUCUUUCCCCAACCCCGACGACAAGAUCAGAAGCACCAGCAUGAAGGAAAUUUAAAGUUGUUUUGAUGCACACCAAGCGCUCGCUAAAAUGCUUCAACUGAAUGAAGCUGAUGUUUGAAGAACGGACCACGAAAUUUGAACGACGUCUCUUAACAACAUUAUUCUUUUAGACUGUAUUAGUGUCUUUGUUCGAUUUUGAUGUUUUUUUCCAGAUUUGAAAGUUUUUUUUUUAUUUUUAUUCUUUAACAAUAAAAUGUAAUUCUUAGCAAUUAUUACAUGUAU